UUAAUAAUUUAUAUAUAAUAUUUUAUGAUAUUUAUAUAAUAUUAACAUAAUUCAUAUUACUAUUAUUAUUAGUAUAUGAAAUUUUACUUUGAGAAAAUUAGAGUGCUUAAAGCAGGCUUUUGCCUUGAAUACUCCAGCAUGGAAUAAUAUAAAAGAUUUUUAUCUUUUUUAUUGGUUCUAAGAUAAAAAUAAUGAUUAAUAGGGACAGUUGGGGGCAUUUGUAUUUAACAGUCAGAGGUGAAAUUCUUAGAUUUGCUAAAGACGAACUAGUGCGAAAGCAUUUGCCAAGGAUGUUUUCAUUAAUCAAGAACGAAAGUUAGGGGAUCGAAGACGAUCAGAUACCGUCGUAGUCUUAACCAUAAACUAUGCCAACUAGAGAUUGGAGGUUGUU
rnacentral:rRNA from 1 species